GGGCUUUGUUCUCUACAUUAAAGAGAACUUAAAUCCGAAAUUUGAGCCAAUUUGGAGUUGAUUUGAGGGUAGUUGAAUUUUUGACUUGUUCUUGUGUUCUUGAAGACCUUCAAAUCUUCAUAAGGAAGAAGACUCUCCAAAGGGUCAUUUGAUCCAAAAGUUGUCAAAGAAAGUUGUGAAAAAAGUGUUUGUGGUCCAACAAAAACAAAAAAAAAAUCAGAAAUACUUGGUCUAAAUUUCUGAUUUUUGCAAAAAAAAAAAAAAAAAAAAAAAAAGAAUCGAAUUGGCCCAUAUGCGACACUACAUGCGAGUCGCAUGUUGUGUCGCAUCUUGUGACAGAAAGUUGACAAAGUUGGUUGCCUCAUAUGCGAGACGCAUCUCACCAUCACAUGUAGAACAUGCGAGUCGCACAUGGUUUCGCAUCCUGUGACAGAGAGUUGACACCUUGGUUGCAUCAUCUGCGAAACGCAAAUCGCCCUCGCAUAUUGCAUAUGCGAGUCGCAUGUGAUGCACAGGCGUAGCAUGUUGCGCAUUUCAGGUUUUUUUCAACUUUAAUUCUCUUUGAUUCCAUUUCUCAAAACAAAAAUUUCUUGAUCCUUAGUUGAUGGUCUUGUGUCCCUAAUCCUUUGGUAGGGAACAAAAAAAAAAAAAAAAAGUAUAGAAA